rnacentral:tRNA from 2 species
GCGGGAAUGGCGGAAUUGGUAGACGCGCUGGAUUUAGGUUCCAGUGCCGCGAGGCGUGAGAGUUCAAGUCUCUCUUCCCGUACCA